rnacentral:rRNA from 1 species
CCAGACUCCUACGGGAGGCAGCAGUGGGGGAUAUUGCACAAUGGGGGAAACCCUGAUGCAGCGACGCCGCGUGGGUGAAGGAGUACUUCGGUACGUAAAGCCCUAUCAGCAGGAAAGAAAAUGACGGUACCUGACUAAGAAGCCCCGGCUAACUACGUGCCAGCAGCCGCGGUAAUACGUAGGGGGCAAGCGUUAUCCGGAUUUACUGGGUGUAAAGGGGGCGCAGACGGCGAUGCAAGCCAGGAGUGAAAGCCCGGGGCCCAACCCCGGGACUGCUCUGGAAACUGCGUCGCUGGAGUACGGGAGGGGCAGGCGGAAUUCCUGGUGUAGCGGUGAAAUGCGUAGAUAUCAGGAGGAACACCGGCGGCGAAGGCGGCCUGCUGGACCGUGACUGACGUUGAGGCUCGAGAGCGUGGGGAGCAAACAGGAUUAGAUACCCUGGUAC